rnacentral:rRNA from 2 species
CUGGUGUCAGCCGCCGCGGUAAUACCAGCACCCCGAGUGGUCGGGGCGAUUAUUGGGCCUAAAGCAUCCGUAGCCGGUACUGCAAGUCUUCCGUUAAAUCCACCUGCUCAACAGUUGGGCUGCGGGGGAUACUACAGCGCUAGGAGGCGGGAGAGGCAAGCGGUACUUAAUGGGUAGGGGUAAAAUCCACUGAUCCAUUGAAGACCACCAGUGGCGAAGGCGGCUUGCCAGAACGCGCUCGACGGUGAGGGAUGAAAGCUGGGGGAGCAAACCGGAUUAGAUACCCGGGUAGUCCCAGCUGUAAACGAUGCAGACUCGGUGAUGGGCUGGCCUUGUGCCAACCCAGUGCCGCAGGGAAGCCGUUAAGUCUGCCGCCUGGGGAGUACGGUCGCAAGACUGAAACUUAAAG